CCUACGGGUGGCUGCAGUGGGGAAUAUUGGACAAUGGGCGCAAGCCUGAUCCAGCAAUGCCGCGUGGGUGAAGAAGGCCUUCGGGUUGUAAAGCCCUUUUGUACGGGAAGAAAAGCCUGGGGUGAAUAUCCCCGGGUCAUGACGGUACCGUAAGAAUAAGCACCGGCUAACUUCGUGCCAGCAGCCGCGGUAAUACGAAGGGUGCAAGCGUUAAUCGGAAUUACUGGGCGUAAAGCGUGCGUAGGCGGUUUGUUAAGUCCGAUGUGAAAGCCCUG
rnacentral:rRNA from 1 species